GAUGGGACUGCGGCUGAUUAGGCUGUUGGUGAGGUAAUGGCUCACCAAACCAUUGAUCAAUAGGGGCUAUGCGAGUAGGAGCCCCGAGACGGGCACUGAGACAAGGGCCCGAGCCCUACGGGGUGCAGCAGGCGCGAAACUUCCGCAAUGCGCGAAAGCGUGACGGGGGGAGUCCGAGUGCCAUCCUAACGGAUGGCUUUUCGUGAGACCAAAUCUCUCACGGAAUAAGUGGUGGGUAAAUCUCGUGCCAGCCGCCGCGGUAAUACGAGUAGCACAAGUGGUAUCCACGAAUAUGGAGCUUAAAGCGUUCGUAGCCGGUCAAGCCAGUUUCCUGUGAAAUCUGCGGGCUUAACCCGUAGGCGUGCAGGAAAUACUACUUGGCUAGGGAACGGGGGAGGUUAGGAGUACUCUAGGGGGAGCGGUAAAAUGCUGUAAUCCUUGGAGGACUAACGAUGGCGAAUGCACCUGACUAAAACGUGUCCGACGGUGAGGGACGUAUGCUUGGG
rnacentral:rRNA from 1 species